GACGAACCGUCCAAACGUUAUUCGGAAUCACUGGGCUUACAGAGUUCGUAGGCGGUCUGGAAAGUUGGGUGUGAAAUCCCUCGGCCUAACCGAGGAACUGCGCUUGAAACUACCAGACUCGAGGGAGAUAGAGGAAAGCGGAACUGAUGGUGGAGCGGUGAAAUGCGUUGAUAUCGGAAGGAACGCCGGUGGCGAAAGCGACGUACUGGACCUCUUCUGACGCUGAGGCGCGAAAGCUAGGGGAGCAAACGGG
rnacentral:rRNA from 1 species